ensembl:snoRNA
GUGCCCUUUUAAGGUUGCUGCAGUAUUUGAAAGAGGCUAACACAGAAAGAUGAAGCAAGUUUCCAUAAAACCCAGAGACGAGGUCGGUAUACCUCCUCUUUGGAGCCUGUCUGAAGUCCCAGCU